GACGAACGCUGGCGGCGUGCUUAACACAUGCAAGUCGAACGGAAAGGCCCUGCUUUUGUGGGGUGCUCGAGUGGCGAACGGGUGAGUAACACGUGAGUAACCUGCCCUUGACUUUGGGAUAACUUCAGGAAACUGGGGCUAAUACCGGAUAGGAGCUCCUGCUGCAUGGUGGGGGUUGGAAAGUUUCGGCGGUUGGGGAUGGACUCGCGGCUUAUCAGCUUGUUGGUGGGGUAGUGGCUUACCAAGGCUUUGACGGGUAGCCGGCCUGAGAGGGUGACCGGCCACAUUGGGACGGAGAUACGGCCCAGACUCCUACGGGAGGCAGCAGGGGGGAAUAUUGCACAAUGGGCGGAAGCCUGAUGCAGCAACGCCGCGUGCGGGAUGACGGCCUUCGGGUUGUAAGCCGCUUUCGCCUGUGACGAAGCGUGAGUGACGGUAAUGGGUAAAGAAGCACCGGCUAACUACGUG
rnacentral:rRNA from 1 species